rnacentral:rRNA from 1 species
CGAACGCUGGCGGCGUGCCUAAUACAUGCAAGUAGAACGCUGAAGGAGGAGCUUGCUUCUCUGGAUGAGUUGCGAACGGGUGAGUAGCGCGUAGGUAACCUGCCUGGUAGCGGGGGAUAACUAUUGGAAACGAUAGCUAAUACCGCAUAAGAGUAGAUGUUGCAUGACAUUUGCUUAAAAGGUGCAAUUGCAUCACUACCAGAUGGACCUGCGUUGUAUUAGCUAGUUGGUGGGGUAACGGCUCACCAAGGCGACGAUACAUAGCCGACCUGAGAGGGUGAUCGGCCACACUGGGACUGAGACACGGCCCAGACUCCUACGGGAGGCAGCAGUAGGGAAUCUUCGGCAAUGGACGGAAGUCUGACCGAGCAACGCCGCGUGAGUGAAGAAGGUUUUCGGAUCGUAAAGCUCUGUUGUAAGAGAAGAACGAGUGUGAGAGUGGAAAGUUCACACUGUGACGGUAUCUUACCAGAAAGGGACGGCUAACUACGUG